rnacentral:rRNA from 1 species
ACUGAUUUGAAGAGCUUGCUCAGAUAUGACGAUGGACAUUGCAAAGAGUGGCGAACGGGUGAGUAACACGUGGGAAACCUACCUCUUAGCAGGGGAUAACAUUUGGAAACAGAUGCUAAUACCGUAUAACAAUGACAACCGCAUGGUUGUUAUUUAAAAGAUGGUUCUGCUAUCACUAAGAGAUGGUCCCGCGGUGCAUUAGCUAGUUGGUAAGGUAAUGGCUUACCAAGGCGAUGAUGCAUAGCCGAGUUGAGAGACUGAUCGGCCACAAUGGGACUGAGACACGGCCCAUACUCCUACGGGAGGCAGCAGUAGGGAAUCUUCCACAAUGGGCGAAAGCCUGAUGGAGCAACGCCGCGUGUGUGAUGAAGGGUUUCGGCUCGUAAAACACUGUUGUAAGAGAAGAAUGACAUUGAGAGUAACUGUUCAAUGUGUGACGGUAUCUUACCAGAAAGGAACGGCUAAAUACGUGCCAGCAGCCGCGGUAAUACGUAUGUUCCAAGCGUUAUCCGGAUUUAUUGGGCGUAAAGCGAGCGCAGACGGUUAUUUAAGUCUGAAGUGAAAGCCCUCAGCUCAACUGAGGAAUUGCUUUGGAAACUGGAUGACUUGAGUGCAGUAGAGGAAAGUGGAACUCCAUGUGUAGCGGUGAAAUGCGUAGAUAUAUGGAAGAACACCAGUGGCGAAGGCGGCUUUCUGGACUGUAACUGACGUUGAGGCUCGAAAGUGUGGGUAGCAAACAGGAUUAGAUACCCUGGUAGUCCACACCGUAAACGAUGAGUGCUAGGUGUUUGAGGGUUUCCGCCCUUAAGUGCCGCAGCUAACGCAUUAAGCACUCCGCCUGGGGAGUACGACCGCAAGGUUGAAACUCAAAGGAAUUGACGGGGACCCGCACAAGCGGUGGAGCAUGUGGUUUAAUUCGAAGCAACGCGAAGAACCUUACCAGGUCUUGACAUCCCUUGACAACUCCAGAGAUGGAGCGUUCCCUUCGGGGACAAGGUGACAGGUGGUGCAUGGUUGUCGUCAGCUCGUGUCGUGAGAUGUUGGGUUAAGUCCCGCAACGAGCGCAACCCUUAUUACUAGUUGCCAGCAUUCAGUUGGGCACUCUAGUGAGACUGCCGGUGACAAACCGGAGGAAGGUGGGGAUGACGUCAAAUCAUCAUGCCCCUUAUGACCUGGGCUACACACGUGCUACAAUGGCGUAUACAACGAGUUGCCAACCCGCGAGGGUGAGCUAAUCUCUUAAAGUACGUCUCAGUUCGGAUUGUAGGCUGCAACUCGCCUACAUGAAGUCGGAAUCGCUAGUAAUCGCGGAUCAGCACGCCGCGGUGAAUACGUUCCCGGGUCUUGUACACACCGCCCGUCACACCAUGAGAGUUUGUAACACCCAAAGCCGGUGGGGUAACCUUCGGGAGCCAGCC